rnacentral:rRNA from 1 species
GGGAAACCCCCUCGCCGAAAGACUAAGGUUUCCUGAUCAACGCUAAUCGGAUCAGGGUCAGUCGGGUCCUAAGGCUCAGCCGAACGGCGAUGCCGAUGGCAGAAACGGUUAAUAUUCCGUUACUACCUUCAGGAGUGACGUGGAGACGCAGUAGUGACAGUGCCGCCAUCUGACGGAAUAGAUGGUUGAAGGGUGUAGGAGUCGAUCAUGGCAGGCAAAUCCACCAUGAGAUCCGAACCUGACAGUAUGCCGCGUCCUUCGGGACAAGGCAAUAGUGCGCGUAAGCAUGCUGCCGAGAAAAUCCGCUAAACUUAAUCCUGCAGGUACCCGUACCGCAAACGGACACACGUAGUCGGGAUGAAUAUUCUAAGGCGCUUGAGUGAUUCACGGUUAAGGAACUAGGCAAACUGACCCUGUAACUUCGGGAUAAAGGGUCCCUACCCUUUUAUGGGAGGGCGCAGAGAAUCGGUCCAGGCAACUGUUUAACAAAAACACAGGGCUGUGCCAAAUCGAAAGAUCCAGUAUACAGCCUGACACCUGCCCGGUGCUGGAAGGUUAAGAGGAGAUGUCAUCGAUAAGAGAAGCGUUGAAUUGAAGCCCCAGUAAACGGCGGCCGUAACUAUAACGGUCCUAAGGUAGCGAAAUUCCUUGUCGGGUAAGUUCCGACCUGCACGAAUGGUGUAAUGAUCUGGACGCUGUCUCAACCGUGAGCUCAGUGAAAUUGUAGUAUCGGUGAAGAUGCCGAUUACCCGCGAUGGGACGAAAAGACCCCGUGAACCUUUACUAUAGCUUAUCAUUGAAUCUGGGCACGUGAUGUGUAGGAUAGGUCGGAGGCUUUGAAGGGGGUACGCCAGUAUCCUUGGAGCCGCUGUUGAAAUACGACCCUUCAUUUGUUUGGAUUCUAACCCGUGUAUAUGGGGACACUGAUUGGUGGGUAGUUUGACUGGGGUGGUCGCCUCCAAAAGCGUAACGGAGGCUUCUAAAGGUGCCCUCACGGCGAUUGGUAACCGCCGUUAGAGUGUAAUGGCAUAAGGGCGCUUGACUGGGAGACUGACAAGUCGAUCAGGUAGGAAACUAGAGCAUAGUGAUCCGGUGUUUCCGUAUGGAAGGGACAUCGCUCAAAGGAUAAAAGGUACUCCGGGGAUAACAGGCUGAUC